AUAUCAAUAAGCGGAGGAAAAGAAACUAACAAGGAUUCCCCUAGUAACGGCGAGUGAAGCGGGAUGAGCUCAAGCUUAAAAUCUCCGUGCAAGUUUUGCGCGGCGAAUUGUAGUCUAUAGAGGCGUGGUCAGCGUGGGCACUUGGGGCAAGUUCCUUGGAAGAGGACAGCAUGGAGGGUGAUACUCCCGUUCAUCCCUGAGUUGCUCAUGCGUACGACCCGUUUUCUUUGAGUCGCGUUGUUUGGGAAUGCAGCGCAAAGUAGGUGGUAAAUUCCAUCUAAAGCUAAAUAUUGGUGCGAGACCGAUAGCGAACAAGUACCGUGAGGGAAAGAUGAAAAGAACUUUGAAAAGAGAGUUAAAGAGUACCUGAAACUGCUGAAAGGGAACCGAAUCGUUUCCAGUGUCUAUAAUCCGUGGCAUAUUUCAUUGGCGAGUGUGUGCGUGCGUGUGCUGUGGCAGUGGCUUUUUGCUGCGCUCGGUGUGUGUGCUGUGUGUGCUUGCUGGUGCCCUGUGCUGCGGUGGGACGUCAAGGUCAGUUCGUAUGCUGCGGGAAAUGGCUGCCGAGGAGGUAGGGCUUACGCUUGCGUUUGUCUGUUAUAUCUUGGUGGACGAGUCGUCGCGGUUGGGACUGAGGUGCCUACAACGUGCUUUUGAGUGAGUUUGUGUCUCCGUGUGCGCCGUGUGCGGAUAGCUUGCUAUGCGUGUGUGGUUGUGUGUGGAUUGAUGCGGGCUUUAACUUGUUGCCGUUCGGGACGUUGACGAAAUGGAGCGAUCCGACCCGUCUUGAAACACGGACCAAGGAGUCUAACAUGUGU
rnacentral:rRNA from 1 species